UACGGGGGGGGCAAGCGUUGUUCGGAAUUACUGGGCGUAAAGGGCUCGUAGGCGGCCAACUAAGUCAUACGUGAAAUCCCUCGGCUUAACCGGGGAACUGCGUCUGAUACUGGCUGGCUUGAGAUCGGGAGAGGGAUGCGGAAUUCCAGGUGUAGCGGUGAAAUGCGUAGAUAUUGGGAGGAACACCGGUGGCGAAGGCGACUCACUGGACACGUAUUGACGCUGAGGUGCGAAAGCGUGGGGAGCAAACAGG
rnacentral:rRNA from 1 species